rnacentral:rRNA from 1 species
AUUGAACGCUGGCGGCAGGCUUAACACAUGCAAGUCGAGCGAGUGGCGGACGGGUGAGUAAUGUCUGGGAAACUGCCUGAUGGAGGGGGAUAACUACUGGAAACGGUAGCUAAUACCGCAUACCAUCAGAUGUGCCCAGGUGGGUUUAGGUAGUUGGUGGGGUAAUGGCUCACCUAGGCGACGAUCCCUAGCUGGUCUGAGAGGAUGACCAGCCACACUGGAACGGAGACACGGUCCAGACUCCUACGGGAGGCAGCAGUGGGGAAUAUUGCACAAUGGGCGCAAGCCUGAUGCAGCCAUGCCGCGUGUGUGAAGAAGGCCUUCGGGUUGUAAAGCACUUUCAGCGAGGAGGCGUUACUCGCAGAAGAAGCACCGGCUAACUCCGUGCCAGCCGCCGCGGUAAUAC